CUGGAAUAUAAAAAGAGCAGAGUAUCACACUCUGCUGUAAUGAACUUGCUCCUCCAAAGUGUGUUCGUGAAAAUGAAAGGCAUCCUCUCUGUUACCUCAUUUUGUUUCAGUUAGCUUUUUAAACACAUAAUACAUUUUUUAGUUAUUUAUCAUGGUUUAACUUUGUUUUCAGUUAACGGAAAUGUUUUGGCUGUUUGAGUUUUCAUGAUUGUGUUCAUUUUGGUUAAUGAUAAUAACCUUGGACUGGACGCUGAUGUGAGAGCCUCCUGAGGAGCGGCUGGGCCCCAAACCAUCUGUGAGGGGAGAAGUGCAUGAAGACCCUGUCCUGUGACCCAAGCAAAAGCAACAGAGCUAGUAAGAGAAUUUUUCAAAGGUACGACAUUUUAAGGUCAACAUAAAUACCCCUGGAAUAGCUGUUGCAUAUAGAUAAUAAACAUUUAUGCAAUUAAUAUCAUCUUGAAACGUGUUCUUCCUGCUCACCCUGUUAGGAUUUAAAUUUGAAUCCAUGGAAGUAGUAUGUUCACCUGAAUACUACACUCAUACCUGCAGAAUAAACAAAUUCGUAAAUAAACCAGAAUCAGUAACAUGCUGUGCUUUUGUUACCACAUCGAAGUGAACUCGCACUUAGAGCAGUGAUUCAUAGAGAAAUAUUGUGAACAUGUCCCCUCUCUGUGUGUGAUCUCUGCCUAGACAAAGAAAGAAAGGAGUUGUUUUAGUGUUUGCUGCUCAAAUGUGUUGUGAUAUCAGCAGCAAGCUGACAUUUUUAAUGUCAGCCUCCACAGCUGAGCAAUAGCAAGGAGUCUUGAAAAGGCAGACCUCUUGAACUUUCUACCUUGUACUCUGCAGAAAUCAUUUGAAAAAUACAAAAGGCUUUUGCACUAAAAAGCAGCUUGGAUCCCCCUCUUUUUUUGUAAAACUUGUAAAUGCAACCUCAACACAAUGCAGUUUGUUGUGUGCUCAUUUCUGUGCGUAUUUUGUACUUUAUUUUUCAGGCAUUAGAAUCCCCACUGGAAGGAGAGACUUCAUACUUCUGCACAGUUUAAAAAAAUGAGGUGAUUUCACAUUUAGUUUGAUCUUGAUUUCAGCGAGAACAGUUGCAAUUUCAUCAUUAGUUUGCUCAAAGGUGCAUGAUGUAUUUUGUAAUGUUAGGCAGGUACAUCAUUACCUUAUCAUUCCCUGCUAAGGAGUUAUAAUGCAACUUUCAACUUUAUAUUUCUGCAGAGAGUUCUUUGAUAAUGGGGGAACUAGGGAAGCGCUUUAAAGUUUGGGAGUUUAAUUCUUUGCACUUUACUUAAUGAGUCUUUAAAACCUGGUUAAAGUUUUACUUUUAUACCAAAGAGACAAUCUGUUGUACAUUUUCUACAUAUCUAUAUAUUAUUUAUAUUUUAAGAAAAAUGUAUUAUUGUCACUACAAUGUUACAUCCAUCCUGAUAAUAAUUAGUGUUUUCCAAAAUGCCAGGCGGUUGAAGAAAUAGACUGUUUAUACAGGACAACAUAUAUGAAAUAAACAGCACUUUAGCAAAGGUAAUAGAAGUAUUAGUAUGAAAGAUUUUUACUUAAGCACCUUCACAGCAGACUUCCUGUCACUGUUUUCCGUUCUUCGAAACAGAAAAUUAUGGUAUCAGAAUAUUACAACAUAUUUAAAUUCUCAUUUUAGCUCCAUUUAAUUUAAUUAAUCAGAGCAAAGGACCUGAGAAAUGACAUGCAUAAAUUACAAGAACCCAAACUGUUCUGAGGCAUUUCUUACUCCACCACAGCGAGAGAAGCAGGACCGGUCCAGCGCCUUGGAACCAUUACAGCAGCUGUGUCACAAAGCUCCCUCGGCACAUAACAAUUUGUAAUUUGUAAUUACAUGGAUUGCUUGAAAUGACCUCACUGGGAGACGAUUCAUUCUAAAAAUCCAAUUAUUAAAGCGUUGAAGCCUCUAGCUGACAGAUU
rnacentral:lncRNA from 1 species